rnacentral:tRNA from 2 species
GGAGCGAUACCAAAGCGGUCGUACUGGGGCGGUCUUGAAAACCGUUGUAGCGCAAGUUACCGGGGGUUCGAAUCCCUCUCGCUCCG